rnacentral:rRNA from 1 species
GAUGAACGCUGGCGGCGUGCCUAAUACAUGCAAGUCGAGCGAACAGACGAGGAGCUUGCUCCUCUGACGUUAGCGGCGGACGGGUGAGUAACACGUGGAUAACCUACCUAUAAGACUGGGAUAACUUCGGGAAACCGGAGCUAAUACCGGCUAAUAUAUUGAACCGCAUGGUUCAAUAGUGAAAGACGGUUUUGCUGUCACUUAUAGAUGGAUCCGCGCCGCAUUAGCUAGUUGGUAAGGUAACGGCUUACCAAGGGAACGAUGCGUAGCCGACCUGAGAGAGGGAUCGUCCGCUCUGGAGCUGAGUCACGAUCCUGGGACCUCCAGUGAGCGGCAGUGGGGUAGCUUCCGCGAUGGGGGAAGGCUUGACGGUACGACGCAGCGUGUAUGAUGAAGGUCUUCGGAUCGUAAUGCUGUGUUAUUAGGGGAGGACAAAUGUGUAUGUGACUAUGCCCGUCUUGACGGUACCGAAUCAGAAAGCCACGGAUAACUACGUG